rnacentral:piRNA from 1 species
UAAUUUUCUACCUACACUAAACUUGGGACC